rnacentral:rRNA from 1 species
UACGAAGGGGGCUAGCGUUGCUCGGAAUCACUGGGCGUAAAGCGCACGUAGGCGGAUCUUUAAGUCAGGGGUGAAAUCCCAAGGCUCAACCUUGGAACUGCCUUUGAUACUGGGGAUCUCGAGUCCGGAAGAGGUGAGUGGAACUGCGAGUGUAGAGGUGAAAUUCGUAGAUAUUCGCAAGAACACCAGUGGCGAAGGCGGCUCACUGGUCCGGUACUGACGCUGAGGUGCGAAAGCGUGGGGAGCAAAAAGG